GCCUUGUGUUAUUGUCCCUUGUUCUCUGCUACUCCUGUCUGUGCUCUUGUCCUAAACAAAUUGAGAAUAUGUUAUAUUUGCUCUAAGUAUCAUUUGUGAUGCUUGCACCAUGUGUAAAAUUUUUUAUUCAUAGUUCUGGGUACUUCUCUCCUUUGGAAAAUUACGGUCAUGCCACAUUUAUCCCUACAAGUGACCAAGUUCCUAGAAGAAUAUCUUCUGCACACAAUUUGCCUCCUAAAUAUUUACUGAAUAGCUAGAAUCAAAUGGCAAGUAUUCUGCUGGUUUUGAAUGAGAAUGGAAAAGAAUGGAAGCAAGGAAGAUUGGAAAGGAUCUUCUCUGCUAUUUUAAGAGAAAAUAUACUACCUAAUGUAUGGAGAACAAGAAAGAAGCCUUCUAAUCCCUUCUUCCAUUCCGGGUGAUAAUCCAAAAGAGGAAGAUAAUAAAGGAUAUGGCACUUUCAUUUAUGCAAAGAUUUUUCUCUUAAUUCUGAAAUAUCCAUGCAACCUUGCAAUGAAGAAGAAAAAGUUACAAAAGAAUAGUCCAAGGAACCUAAUAAACACAUUAUUCAAUUAA